rnacentral:rRNA from 1 species
UUGCUAGUAAUGGCAGGUCAGCAUACUGCCGUGAAUACGUUCCCGGGCCUUGUACACACCGCCCGUCACACCAUGAGAGUUGGGAAUACCCGAAGCCUGUGAGCUAACUUAUAGAGGCAGCAGUCGAAGGUAGAAUCAAUGAUUGGGGUGAAGUCGUAACAAGGUAAC